rnacentral:tRNA from 1 species
AAGGUUGUAGCUUAAUUAAAGUGUUUGAUUUGCAUUCAGAUGAUGUGUAUUAGGAUUACACCAGUCUUC